CUGGAAAACUAGGGAAUUUAUUGACAGUUCCCUGAAUUUUGUAACCCUAGUUGUGUCCCAAUAACUGUUCUUCAGAAGGAUGUCUCCACCAAAAUGUAUAAUAUUCCCUUGACCUUGUCCCUCCAUACACUCCCCGUCCUAUCCUAGGUCUCCCCCUGUCUAACUUAACUAGUAUUACAGAGUGUAGAAUACCACAUCAUUCAUUCCCCAAUUGAUAAGACUUUUGUAUUCUGUUUUUUGUCUUAUAUCUAGAAUAAUUGUAAGUUAAGACAUUCAACUCAAACUGUGAAUAUGUGUGUCCUCUGCUCUGGUCUCCCCCAUCACCAGGAGCAGAAGGAGCUGUGCCAGGAGAGGGCCUGUGAGAGUAUAGUGAUGUGAUUGACCACUCUCUCUGUGGUACAACUGCUGCUGACUCAUCCUGCAUUACCUGCAGGACUCAGGGAGGAGAGGUGUCUGCUAGAGUUCCCCUGUAUGAACCCUCUAGCGGCUCAGCUGAUGUUGAGGAGGGGCCCCUCUCGCCACUGGCUCCUGGGGGCCACCCCUCUCCCAGUUGCAGGAGCUGCUCUCUGAGGUCCCUCACAAAGUCAUCAAGCUCUUCAGUGACACCCCGUCUCUGUACAAGCUGACUGCAGCAGCCUCCUCUCCAGAGUCUCACACUGAGUUCACUCAUCAGAAAGACCACAGUAGCUCCACCGACCCUUCUGCCACCAGCAGAGACAACCAACACCCACACACUGCAACCAACACCCACACACCGCGACCCACACACACACCGCGACCCACACACACACCGCGACCCACCCA